AUAGGGAGCAAGAUGAAGUCACUGACCCAGGUCCUCAUAUCCCUGCUGUUUUGGGUGUCUGGUGCCAGUGCACACAUUCUGAUGACUCAGUCUCCAUCCUCCCUGGCUGUGUCAGAGGGAGAGAAACUCUCAGUCAGCUGCAGGUCCAGUCAGAGCCUUUUACACAGCAGCAACCAAAAGAACUACUUGUUCUGGUACCAGCAGAAACCAGGGCAAUCCCCUAAGUGGCUGAUCUCCUAUGCAUCCACUCGGGAUACUGGGGUCCCUGAUCGCUUCACAGGCAGUGGAACUGGGACAGAUUUCACUCUCAGUAUCUGCAGUGUGCAGGCUGAAGACCUGGCAGUUUAUUACUGUCUACAGACUUACAGUGAUCCUCCCACAGUGAACCGUUAUGUAGCUUGA